rnacentral:miRNA from 1 species
AUUAGAUUGGUGCAAAAGUCAUUGCAGUUUUUUCCAUUACUUUCAAUAGCAAAAACUGCAGUGACUUUUGCACCAACCUAAUA